ACUAGGUAUUUAGGGGAAAAAAUUGUGUCAAAAUAAGUGUUGCUGCUAUCUUUACCUUUGUAAGACUAAAACAUAAGGUCUUUCUCACAGAAAAAUACAGUAAGAAACGAGCCCCUUUGCUUCUUCUUCUUCUCCUCUAAUCUUCCAUUAAUCUUCCCAGAUGCGCUACUAGAUCAUCUCUUUUCUAAAAGACUGGCUAUUAAAAAUGGUCGAGAUCCAACACUAAGUGAGCUACAUUUGCACGUUCAUACACAUGGUCAUGAUGAAAAAUCUUUUGUUAGUGAGUGAUCACGAAUUGUACAUAUUUGAGCUGUCCGGAAGCCAAUUCAAGCAAGAAGGCGAU